GAGCAGUAAAACCUGGGCUGUAAAGAAAAGCGUCUCACUGCUGUCGAGUGCUUUGCAACAGGUUUUAUUCACUUUAAUCAGCAGCUGGAUUGAAAACUUUAUAUUUGCUUGUAGGAGCUGCACUGAGAUCAGAAUAAAGGCUGAAUUUGUCUGCAGAGAUUCAUUAACAUCAAUGUAAUAGUUAAGAAUUUAAUCCACUGUGUUGAUGUGGUUUAGUCUUAAAUUGUCUUAACUAGCGCUGAUUUAGAUUUUUAAAAUAAUGCAAGAAGCUCUUUUUAUAUUGUUUUAUUAUAUAAUUUAAUUUAUGGUUGAUGUAAAAUGUAAGUGUUUCUCUCAGUUAUUGAUUUGUUAAACUGUGUGUGUGCAGACUGAGGAGUGGGCUGUAGCUCUGUUUGACUUCCCCGGUCAGACCCCAGAGGAUCUGUCCUUCCACAAGGGGGCGCUGAUCCAAGUGACGGAGCACAUCGAUGCAGAGUGGAGGAGAGGAAGAGUGGAGGGGCGAGAGGGGCUUUACCCCGUGGCCUUCACACAGCCCUGCAAAGCUCAGCCAAUCACAGGCCAGCAGCCUGUGGCUAAAGGAAUGGCCAAAGCUCUGUUUGACUUCACAGCAGAAAGCGAGGAUGAGCUCACACUGAAGAUCGGUGACAUUAUCACACAGGUGGAGGCUGUGGAUGAGCAGUGGAUUAUGGGCGUUGUGGGCGGGAAGCAUGGGAUUGAGC